UGGGGGAUAUUGCACAAUGGGCGAAAGCCUGAUGCAGCGACGCCGCGUGGGGGAUGAAGGCCUUCGGGUUGUAAACUUCUUUUGCUCUGAACAAGGCAUGCCUUUGGGGUGUGUUGAGUGUAGGGGUUGAUUAGCGCCGGCUAACUACGUGCCAGCAGCCGCGGUAAUACGUAUGGAGCGAGCGUUGUCCGGAAUUAUUGGGCGUAAAGGGUGCGCAGGCGGCUUUACAAGUUGGAUGUGAAAUAUUGUGGCUCAACCACAAACGUGCAUCCAAAACUGAAAAGCUUGAGUUAAGGAGAGGUAAGUGGAAUUCCUGGUGUAGCGGUGGAAUGCGUAGAUAUCAGGAGGAAUACCGGUGGCGAAGGCGACUUACUGGACUUAAACUGACGCUCAGGCACGAAAGCGUGGGGAGCAAACAGG
rnacentral:rRNA from 1 species